rnacentral:rRNA from 1 species
AGCAGCCGCGGUAAUUCCAGCUCCAAUAGCGUAUAUUAAAGUUGUUGCAGUUAAAAAGCUCGUAGUUGAAUUUCGGGACUAAUAUGUCGGUCGUGCCUCGGUACGAACUGGUUUAUUGGUUUCUCCUUUCUGAAGAACCAUGAUGUCAUUUAUUUGGUGUCGUGGGGAAUCAGGACUGUUACUUUGAAAAAAUUAGAGUGUUUAAAGCAGGCUCACGCUUGAAUACAUUAGCAUGGAAUAAUGAAAUAGGACGUUUGAUUCUAUUUUGUUGGUUUCUAGGAUCGACGUAAUGAUUAAUAGGGAUAGUUGGGGCGAUUAGUAUUCAAUUGUCAGAGGUGAAAUUCUUGGAUUUAUCGAAGACUAACUACUGCGAAAGCAUUUGCCAAGGAUGUUUUCAUUAAUCAAGAACGAAAGUUAGGGGAUCGAAGACGAUCAGAUACCGUCGUAGUCUUAACCAUAAACUAUGCCGACUAGGGAUCGGAUGAUGUUAAUUUUUUAAUGACUCAUUCGGCGCCUUACG